GGGUUGUGAGGUUAAGCGACUAAGCGUACACGGUGGAUGCCCUGGCAGUCAGAGGCGAUGAAGGACGUGCUAAUCUGCGAUAAGCGUCGGUGAGGUGAUAUGAACCGUUAUAACCGGCGAUUUCCGAAUGGGGAAACCCAGUGUGUUUCGACACACUAUCAUUAACUGAAUCCAUAGGUUAAUGAGGCGAACCGGGGGAACUGAAACAUCUAAGUACCCCGAGGAAAAGAAAUCAACCGAGAUUCCCCCAGUAGCGGCGAGCGAACGGGGAGGAGCCCAGAGCCUGAAUCAGUGUGUGUGUUAGUGGAAGCGUCUGGAAAGGCGUGCGAUACAGGGUGACAGCCCCGUACACAAAAAUGCACAUAUUGUGAGCUCGAUGAGUAGGGCGGGACACGUGGUAUCCUGUCUGAAUAUGGGGGGACCAUCCUCCAAGGCUAAAUACUCCUGACUGACCGAUAGUGAACCAGUACCGUGAGGGAAAGGCGAAAAGAACCCCGGCGAGGGGAGUGAAAAAGAACCUGAAACCGUGUACGUACAAGCAGUGGGAGCCUCUUAAUGGGGUGACUGCGUACCUUUUGUAUAAUGGGUCAGCGACUUAUAUUCUGUAGCAAGGUUAACCGAAUAGGGGAGCCGAAGGGAAACCGAGUCUUAACUGGGCGUUAAGUUGCAGGGUAUAGACCCGAAACCCGGUGAUCUAGCCAUGGGCAGGUUGAAGGUUGGGUAACACUAACUGGAGGACCGAACCGACUAAUGUUGAAAAAUUAGCGGAUGACUUGUGGCUGGGGGUGAAAGGCCAAUCAAACCGGGAGAUAGCUGGUUCUCCCCGAAAGCUAUUUAGGUAGCGCCUCGUGAAUUCAUCUCCGGGGGUAGAGCACUGUUUCGGCAAGGGGGUCAUCCCGACUUACCAACCCGAUGCAAACUGCGAAUACCGGAGAAUGUUAUCACGGGAGACACACGGCGGGUGCUAACGUCCGUCGUGAAGAGGGAAACAACCCAGACCGCCAGCUAAGGUCCCAAAGUCAUGGUUAAGUGGGAAACGAUGUGGGAAGGCCCAGACAGCCAGGAUGUUGGCUUAGAAGCAGCCAUCAUUUAAAGAAAGCGUAAUAGCUCACUGGUCGAGUCGGCCUGCGCGGAAGAUGUAACGGGGCUAAACCAUGCACCGAAGCUGCGGCAGCGACGCUUAUGCGUUGUUGGGUAGGGGAGCGUUCUGUAAGCCUGUGAAGGUGGCCUGUGAGGGUUGCUGGAGGUAUCAGAAGUGCGAAUGCUGACAUAAGUAACGAUAAAGCGGGUGAAAAGCCCGCUCGCCGGAAGACCAAGGGUUCCUGUCCAACGUUAAUCGGGGCAGGGUGAGUCGACCCCUAAGGCGAGGCCGAAAGGCGUAGUCGAUGGGAAACAGGUUAAUAUUCCUGUACUUGGUGUUACUGCGAAGGGGGGACGGAGAAGGCUAUGUUGGCCGGGCGACGGUUGUCCCGGUUUAAGCGUGUAGGCUGGUUUUCCAGGCAAAUCCGGAAAACCAAGGCUGAGGCGUGAUGACGAGGCACUACGGUGCUGAAGCGACAAAUGCCCUGCUUCCAGGAAAAGCCUCUAAGCAUCAGGUAACAUCAAAUCGUACCCCAAACCGACACAGGUGGUCAGGUAGAGAAUACCAAGGCGCUUGAGAGAACUCGGGUGAAGGAACUAGGCAAAAUGGUGCCGUAACUUCGGGAGAAGGCACGCUGAUAUGUAGGUGAAGCGACUUGCUCGUGGAGCUGAAAUCAGUCGAAGAUACCAGCUGGCUGCAACUGUUUAUUAAAAACACAGCACUGUGCAAACACGAAAGUGGACGUAUACGGUGUGACGCCUGCCCGGUGCCGGAAGGUUAAUUGAUGGGGUUAGCGGCAACGCGAAGCUCUUGAUCGAAGCCCCGGUAAACGGCGGCCGUAACUAUAACGGUCCUAAGGUAGCGAAAUUCCUUGUCGGGUAAGUUCCGACCUGCACGAAUGGCGUAAUGAUGGCCAGGCUGUCUCCACCCGAGACUCAGUGAAAUUGAACUCGCUGUGAAGAUGCAGUGUACCCGCGGCAAGACGGAAAGACCCCGUGAACCUUUACUAUAGCUUGACACUGAACAUUGAGCCUUGAUGUGUAGGAUAGGUGGGAGGCUUUGAAGUGUGGACGCCAGUCUGCAUGGAGCCGACCUUGAAAUACCACCCUUUAAUGUUUGAUGUUCUAACGUUGGCCCGUAAUCCGGGUUGCGGACAGUGUCUGGUGGGUAGUUUGACUGGGGCGGUCUCCUCCUAAAGAGUAACGGAGGAGCACGAAGGUUGGCUAAUCCUGGUCGGACAUCAGGAGGUUAGUGCAAUGGCAUAAGCCAGCUUGACUGCGAGCGUGACGGCGCGAGCAGGUGCGAAAGCAGGUCAUAGUGAUCCGGUGGUUCUGAAUGGAAGGGCCAUCGCUCAACGGAUAAAAGGUACUCCGGGGAUAACAGGCUGAUACCGCCCAAGAGUUCAUAUCGACGGCGGUGUUUGGCACCUCGAUGUCGGCUCAUCACAUCCUGGGGCUGAAGUAGGUCCCAAGGGUAUGGCUGUUCGCCAUUUAAAGUGGUACGCGAGCUGGGUUUAGAACGUCGUGAGACAGUUCGGUCCCUAUCUGCCGUGGGCGCUGGAGAACUGAGGGGGGCUGCUCCUAGUACGAGAGGACCGGAGUGGACGCAUCACUGGUGUUCGGGUUGUCAUGCCAAUGGCACUGCCCGGUAGCUAAAUGCGGAAGAGAUAAGUGCUGAAAGCAUCUAAGCACGAAACUUGCCCCGAGAUGAGUUCUCCCUGAGACUUAGAGUCUCCUGAAGGAACGUUGAAGACGACGACGUUGAUAGGCCGGGUGUGUAAGCGCAGCGAUGCGUUGAGCUAACCGGUACUAAUGAACCGUGAGGCUUAACCUUACAACGCCGAAG
rnacentral:rRNA from 1 species